AUUGAACGCUGGCGGCGUGCCUAACACAUGCAAGUCGAGCGGCAGCGCGGGAGCAAUCCUGGCGGCGAGCGGCGGACGGGUGAGUAAUGCUUGGGAAUCUGCCUGUUAGUGGGGGACAACCCGGGGAAACUCGGGCUAAUACCGCAUACGCACUACGGUGGAAAGCCGGGGACCGCAAGGCCUGGCGCUAACAGAUGAGCCCAAGUCGGAUUAGCUAGUUGGUAGGGUAACGGCCUACCAAGGCGACGAUCCGUAACUGGUCUGAGAGGACGACCAGUCACACCGGAACUGAGACACGGUCCGGACUCCUACGGGAGGCAGCAGUGGGGAAUAUUGGACAAUGGGGGAAACCCUGAUCCAGCGACGCCGCGUGGGUGAAGAAGGCCUGCGGGUUGUAAA
rnacentral:rRNA from 1 species